UACGUAGGGUGCAAGCGUUAAUCGGAAUUACUGGGCGUAAAGCGUGCGCAGGCGGUUGUGCAAGACAGAUGUGAAAUCCCCGGGCUCAACCUGGGAACUGCAUUUGUGACUGCACGGCUGGAGUGCGGCAGAGGGGGAUGGAAUUCCGCGUGUAGCAGUGAAAUGCGUAGAUAUGCGGAGGAACACCGAUGGCGAAGGCAAUCCCCUGGGCCUGUACUGACGCUCAUGCACGAAAGCGUGGGGAGCAAACAGG
rnacentral:rRNA from 1 species